rnacentral:rRNA from 1 species
UACGUAGGGUGCAAGCGUUGUCCGGAAUUAUUGGGCGUAAAGAGCUCGUAGGCGGCUUGUCGCGUCGUCCGUGAAAACCUGCAGCUCAACUGCAGGCUUGCGGUCGAUACGGGCAGGCUAGAGUUCGGUAGGGGAGACUGGAAUUCCUGGUGUAGCGGUGAAAUGCGCAGAUAUCAGGAGGAACACCGAUGGCGAAGGCAGGUCUCUGGGCCGAUACUGACGCUGAGGAGCGAAAGCGUGGGGAGCGAACAGG